rnacentral:rRNA from 1 species
AUUGAACGCUGGCGGCAGGCCUGACACAUGCAAGUCGAACGAGUGGCGGACGGGUGAGUAAUGUCUGGGAAACUGCCCGAUGGAGGGGGAUAACUACUGGAAACGGUAGCUAAUACCGCAUACCAUCGGAUGUGCCCAGAUGGGAUUCGCUGGUAGGUGGGGUAACGGCGCACCUGGGCGACGAUCCCUAGCUGGUCGGAGAGGAUGACCAGCUACACCGUAGCUGAGAGAGGGUCCAGACUCCGACGGGAGGCAGCGGUGGGGAAUAUUGCACGAUGGUAGCAAGCCUGAGGCAGCCGUGACGCGUGUAUGAAGAAGGCCGUCGGGUUGUAAAGGACUUUCAGCGAGGAGGAGUGACUCGGAGAAGAAGCACCGGCUAAAUCCGGGCCAGCAGCCGCGGUAAUUC